UACGGAUGGUGCUAGCGUUGUUCGGAAUUACUGGGCGUAAAGGGCGCGUAGGCGGUAGAGUAAGUCAGAUGUGAAAGUCCAGGGCUCAACUCUGGAAGUGCAUCUGAAACUGUUUUACUUGAGUAUGGGAGAGGAAAGUGGAAUUCCCGGUGUAGAGGUGAAAUUCGUAGAUAUCGGGAGGAAUACCGGUGGCGAAGGCGACUUUCUGGACCAAUACUGACGCUGAGGCGCGAAAGCGUGGGGAGCAAAC
rnacentral:rRNA from 1 species